CUCCAGUUUUUUCCUCCCCUGAUCAGAAUCUAUUGUUCGGUGCUCUAGAACAUUCUUCCGGGCUGCUGCUCCCAACGUGGACUGCACAGGAUGGCGAUGCCCAUCCGCCAGGGCCAGGAGCCAUUUCCCAGUGUCCCUUGGAGCUCCUUAUCCUUCCUGCCCCACCCAGCCCUGCCCCUCCACAGGCUCUCGGAAAAAACCCUCCUCCUUGCUAUCUCCAACCUCCUGGGUACCCAGCACUCAACCGCACAGCGCAAAGCGCUUCCUACCAGAGUCUCAGAGAGGUCGUCCGACUCGCCCGGGGUAACACAGCACCUCCCUGCAUUUAUGCUGACCGAUGGAAAGGGCCUGGGACACAAAGGGGAGGCCGUGGGAGACAUAAUUUCUGCACAUCGUCCCCAUUACCUGCCUGGCACUCCAGGUUUUUUGGCGGCGGGCGAGAAAACCUCAGGUUAUAACCUGAAUUAGAACCCAGCCGCGAGCAGUCAUCAAGCCAGGAGGGCCCUCUGGAGGAGGAGGCAGCCGGCCUGAAGCAGCCUCGGGGAGAGAAGAUAAUGAAGCAACAGGGUUUGCUUGCUGGGCGAAGCUUCCAGGCUCAACUGGCAGUCCUGGCCAUCUCAAAAUAACCCUGCUGGUUCGCGCCCUGUUCUUUCCCUCUCCACACGCACAGCGACCUCGCCGCGUGUAUUUACUCCCCUGUCAUUCCACGCCGGCAAGGAAGUUUCUGGUUUGUUCGACGCCCCGUGCCAAGUGUCAAUAAAUACCUGUUGCGGGGCCUGUGGCCCCAGCACCGGGCGCAAAGCCUGGUGGGCACAGAGACCCCCCCCCCCUGUCUCUGAUCAUGGGGCUGAGAGGGUUGGCUCCUGCUCACCCAUGGCCAAGCGCAAGGCCCCCCGUGAAUCGUGGUCAUUGUCCACCCCCACUGGCCCUGGGGAGGCCCAAGAGCCCUCAGCCGCUGCCCACGGGCCGGCAGAGCCUGGCAGGACCCCAGCUGAAUGUCCCAGCUCAGGGCCGGCCACACCCAAGGGGUCAGCCAACACCCACCCCUGCAGCGCAGGAGCCAAAACCAAAGCGCAAAAGAGGGACCCCCAGGAGGUCUGCGCUGGCAACUUGGAUUCAAGGAGGGCAGAAGGCCCGUGCGCCCCCCCACCUCACCCCCGCUUCUUGGCCGCGCCGGGAGGGGGGGGGGGGCCCAGCCUUCCCCCGAGGUUGGCCUGGGUCCCCGGGAGUGGGGAGCAGCUGUGCCUACUUUGUUUUUCUGGGUUAUUUUUGGGGCGGUUUCCGGCCCCCUCCCCAGUGCCCUGCGGUCUCGCCGUUUCCAGGAAGUCCCCUGCCACCUCAAGGGGGGCGUCCGGGGUGGGGGGGGAGAGCCCCUGCGCCCCGGGGCCGUGGCAGCCAGGGAGGAACCCGUGGGAGAGAUCUGGAGCACCCACGGCGGCGAGGGCGCAGCAGGAGACGCUGUCUUCCAGCCAUCGGCUGGGCCAGGACUUCAGAGUUUGGGGACAUCGAGGCGGGGCCCCAAGGUUCUCUGCCAAAAAAGAUUGGAGCCACGGUUGUGACCUCUCUACACAUGCCUCUUCUGUCCCUUUUACUGAACCUGUGAUUGGCACUGUCUGGACUGUCCAUGUGCCAGCUGGGCCCUGAGCCUCAGCAGAGUUGCAGCUCCUACUCCUUGGGUCGUUGGACCUACCCAGGUCAGCUGACGGGGAGGUGAGGAUGGUCAACCACACACCAGGGAACCGAGAGAGUCCACAACUGCAAGCAGGAGAAUCCCAUCCAUCGCCCAUGUGGGAUCUAAGCCCCCUCUCAAUUUAGAGGUGGAGUGGAUAUCUCCAUCCCAGGGUCCACAGGAUGGAGGAAUAAAAUAUGGAUUAGAGUGGACUUACUGGUAUUCCACUAUAGAACUAUUGUGACUAGUAAUGGAAGAAACUGUAUCGCUGAUGUGGAGACAGUGGCCAUGGAAGGUGCUGAGGGCAGGGAGAGGGAAGAAGAGAUGAGAUGUGGGGGCAUUUUCGGGACUUGGAGUUGUCCUGAAUGAUUUUGCAGGGACGGAUGCAGGACAUUCUAUAUCCUGCCAUAACCCGCUGAAUGGACUGGGGGAGAGUGUCAACUACAAUGUAAGCUAUGGUCCAUGCGGUGCAGCAGUGCUCCAAAAUGUAGUCACCAAAUGCAGUGAAUGUGCCACGAUGAUGAAAGAGGUUGUUGAUGUGGGAGGAGUGGGGGGAGG
rnacentral:lncRNA from 1 species